UCAAUAAAGUAUUUCUGAUUCUGAUUCUGAUGUGUGUGUGUGUGUGUGUGUGUGUGUGUGUUGACAUCUGUAAAGUUGUGAAUUUAACUAAAAGUAAAUAUAUAUACGUUGUCAUGAACACUGUUAUGCUUAUCUGACAGAGAUCAUAAAAAGCAGCGGUAAGCUAUAACAAAACAAUGGCCAAAUGAUGCGGCUGCGCCACACGUCCCAUUUCAUUGGCGUCGCUUUAUGAUGACGGCUGCGAAGCGAGGACAGCGCAUUUCGUUAAAUGCCUGUGGCCUCGCCUCCUCCCUCCGCGUGACUCCUGCUCGCCUCCUCCGCUCGUAGCUCUGGCGGGAGAGGAGCGAGGAGGUGGAAUAAUACAAGCAACAGAGAAGGAACGAUGCUGCCUGCUUGCAGUGUUUUGUCUUUUUUAGCAGAGCCCAAAGCUAAAAGACAGUACCCGCCGCCUGCCCACCCCGCUGCCGAACCAGCAGACUCCAGAGCGGCUUCUUCUCUCAGGCUGCGACACUCCGCUCCACCACAUCAUCUGCACAACACCGUUAAUAAAGAAAUGACUCUCAUUGUUUUUUUUGACAUGGAACUUUCUGUUAUGCUGGUAUUGCACAUUACCAUACAUUUUGCACGCCCUCAUUCCCACUAUAACGUUAUCGUUUAGAGUUUUCUAUUUGCACUAUAACUUAUUACUUAUAUUACACAUCCUGUACAUAUUUUCUGUGUAUAGGUAUAUAUGUAUAGCUAUAUAAGUAAUUGUAUAUCUUCCUUGUAAAUUUAGUUUUCCUUUUUAUCUUUCCUUUAGUGUUAUUUUUUAUAUACUUUGUUCUAUUUUAUUGCCUACUGUUUAUAUUCUCUUAUAAUUUAAAUAUUUGUUCCUACAUUUUCUGUGUGUGUGUAGAGUUUAGGGGGCUACAACUGCAUUUCAUUGUGCAAUCCUGUAUUGUAUAAUGACAAUAAAGCUGAACAUUAACCUUAACAUUAAUCAGUGAGUGACAGAGAUUAAUGACAAUAAACUGUUCACUAAGAAGUUGCAUAAUUUAAAACUUUGUGGACUGCUUUUGUUAGCCCACGAGCCAUGCCAGCUCCUCCGCGAGAAGCACAGUCUAUUACCGGGUGAGUUUUGAAGAUUGGUUUUCCCACAGCCAAAUAAAUAAGACAAGUUGACAAAUCUUACUAUAUCUGUAAUGAAUCACACUUAAAUAUUCUAAUUCCUAACAAAUUCCCAUCCUUAUUUAUGCCAAACAAUUAAAAAGGUGUUUUUACAGUGCACCUGCAGAGGACAAAAACAAACUGCUGGGUUUGAGGAGGAUAACUCUCUUGAUGUUCUCUUUUCGAUGUUAACAUAAGAGUGAUGACACACACAUAUAAACAAUUUAUUGCAACAAAAGGAUGCAUUUUAUUGAAAGUCAAAAUAAAGGUGUAUUAGAGAGUUUUCUCAUUUCUUAUUAGCAUACAAGACAGUACAGUUGUACAUCCUAAGAAAAACAAAGAAAUAAACUAAAUAAAAAAAUCAAACCAUAGAAGGAAAACCUGAAAAGAUACCCUGCUGAUUCUGUUAUUCAGCCCAGAGACCAAGUUGACAGUAGUUUAAACAUUUGGCACUCUUCUGGUAACAGUAAGGACAUUAAAGAGUGAAGUGGGAGGAGAAUUCAGUGGAAAGAUAACAAUUCAUGGAAUCCAAUUCAUUGAGUGUGUAUUCUCCAUCAGUAAUUGGGUCAUGUUUAAUGGAAUGAAGUUUAAAAUAAAUGAUACUUUUGUUUCCUGUUACACCCCUCCCCCACCACAUAAUACAGUGUUGGCAUUGUCCUAGACAAGAUUAACAGAAAACCACCAAGGAGAACAGUGAAAGAUUUGCAUAUAUAAUUAGGGCUCAUUAUUUUUGUUUAUUUUUUUCCAAAAGAACAAACAAAAAGUAAUGGUGUUUCUUUUUAAUAUUUAGAAAAUGUGGUAAAAAUCAGUAAAACACACAAAAAUCCAAAUAUUACAGCUACUAGUGUCUUGUUGCAGCAGGAAACAACACAACAGUUUUUGAUUGUGUGGGGAUCGAGCUUUCGCAGAGCUCGAUCUUGGGUGGAGAUAUAUAUCUCCAAAAUUGCAACUCACCAACCAUCCUCCACUUUACACAAAAAAAAAAAAAACAUGUUUCAAUCCUGAAAUCCCCAAAUGUCCUCCCGGCUCACAGAUGAAGUUGCAAAACCCAACUGUGAACUGUGUCGAGUCAUCAACAAUGAACUGGGAGGAAAUUUCAAAGACACCCCUCGUCCUAAAAAAGGUAGUGAGCAUUUUUUGAUUCUUCAUUAAGAACAUUUCGGUCACAAUAUGUUGUUAAGUGCUGGCAUGCAUCAACAGACAGCGUUGUAAAAAAAUAACACUAAGGGAGGUUGCAUAUUAUUUUACACAGUACUAACCUAAAGUUCGUCCCUCAUACAUUAACAAAGUGGCUCCAAAACAAACAAUUAAGGAUAACAAAUCUGUCCUAAUUUUUUUUUUUUUAAUUGCUCUGUGCCAUGAUAGUAAAAUUAAAGAUAUCCGAUUUUGAUUAUUUAAAGUGAUAAUCCUGAAGAUCAUAUAAAAAUGUGAUACUUAUACGUAUAUGUUUCUGACACAUAAGAUGACCUACAAUAUGACGGUGUAUGCCAACGUCUUUCGCUGUAAAACAUCACAUCAGUAAAAUGUUUUUGUUUUUUUUCAGUUGCUUGGAAUUUGGACGACAGAAUUUUGUAAAAGAUACGACAAUAUAAUCAAUUCACUAUAAUAAGUCAUUCCAAGUCAAUAAACACUAAUAUUUAGUUAGCACCCAGUCCUACACAUGCAGUUUUCCCCAUUGCUGGUCCACUAUUGACAGGAAAUGAUCCAUUUAUAGAUGUGUAUGUGGAAGAGUCCAUUAGCUCUACAGAUAAUUCACACUAUUCAUUUGUAAACUAUUGAAAACAUUCAGUAACCUUACUGCAAGGCAUUCAUAAAAUGCACUGUCACUCUGACCUAUUGCAUGCCCUGUUGCCGUCAGUAACUCACUAUUUGUUGUUUGCUUCAUUAACGCAAAAUAGAGGAAACUAGCGAGCCAUACUGAACAAGUAACGAUGACACCAAACCAUCUGAGAAGUAAAGUGUGGAAGCAUUUGGGAUUCAACACCAGAGAUGGACUAAUUGGGGAUAAAGGUGAGGCUGUUUGCUCCCUUAUAAAAAUGCACCUGCCUUGCAGUAACAUUACCAUGGCAACAAAUAGGAAGUCAACUGUUAGGUCGUCAUUGAGUAAGGAAAUUAAUGGAGCAAAGGUUAUCUCUAUGACAUAGUUUAUGAUUAGGUUAUAUGGAUUGCAUUACAACAAAUUAUGUUUGUAAUUUGUACUUACACAUUUUUUAAAUCAUGAAAGAUGAGUUUUUGUUAAAAAAAAAAAAGAAAAAAGAUCACGUUACUAAUGGAUUAUCUUUCAAAUAAUGGCAGU